GUACUACUAAAAUAAAUUACGUGUAUUUUAAGUAGUAGUGGAGGAAACGUUGGGCAGUGGGACCCACCUGGCAGGUGGAUGGUGGGCUGGUGGCGCGAUCCUUUUCCUCCGGUCUAUCUUUGGAUCUCUCUCUUUAAUUCUCAUGUCCAGUGCGAUCCUUCUGAUUAUAAGCCUUCAGCUUUAUUAACGACUAAAAACUAAUUUAUAAAUAUAGCUUAAACUAAUAUAUAUAUAGAUGCAUAUUGUUAGCACCUUAAAAACUAAUGCUGGAAAUAUAAACUACGGAAAAUUUAAAAAUAUGCUCUGCCUUACAUGUUACGUUUUGAUGUAGCACCUGAUUGCUUGCAUGUAUCUAUCAAUCUAUCCCAUCCCAAGUUCUUAUAAACCUGUGCUCUUGUGGGGUUGGCCAUUGCUGGGGCAUGCUUUUCUCUGGAAAAGGGAGAAGGGAUGCAUCAUAUGCACGGUGGUGGUGCCCACACUGCGUCCCACUCACUGGCUGUAAUUUUUUUGUCAUUCUUUUGAGGAAUUUGGCACCGGCCAGCAGCCCAUCACACUAGUGAGUCAUUGUACAUAUCUUAAUUGCAAAAGAUGGCCUCUCCCUAGGCUGGAAAAAGACGACCCUCCAUUUGCUUCACACUGUCACGUAGUUGUAAGCCUUUUGCUUCACACUGUCACGCAGCGUCACAUAUACUAGUGUAGUACUAGUAGCGUGGUCGGCCAGUGAGGCAGUGAGAACGGCGAGAGUAAAAUCCAAGCAUAAGAAUAGCCGAUGCAGCAGUUAUUAUACUACUCCGUAUUUGUGAGUGCACAGCGAUGUAGUUGUAAAUCAUGGGUAGUUACUCCUUGCGCCACUCGUUGUAAAUUUGUGGCCAUGCAUUACUACUGC
rnacentral:lncRNA from 1 species